rnacentral:rRNA from 1 species
CAGCAUGCCGCGGUGAAUACGUUCCCGGGCCUUGUACACACCGCCCGUCACACCAUGAGAGUCGGGAACACCCGAAGUCCGUAGCCUAACCGCAAGGGGGCGCGGCCGAAGGUGGGUUCGAUAAUUGGGGUGAAGUCGUAACAAGGUAGC